rnacentral:tRNA from 1 species
GAAGGUGUAGCUCGGUGAUAGAGCGCAUCCUUAGCAUGCACGAGGUCCUGGGUUCAAUCCCCAGUACCUCCA